UACGGAGGGUGCAAGCGUUGUCCGGAAUCACUGGGCGUAAAGGGCGCGUAGGCGGCUCGGUAAGUAGGGGGUGAAAUCCUGCGGCUCAACCGCAGGGCUGCCUUCUAAACUGUCGAGCUCGAGCACGGUAGAGGCAGAUGGAAUUCCCGGUGUAGCGGUGGAAUGCGUAGAGAUCGGGAAGAACAUCAGUGGCGAAGGCGGUCUGCUGGGCCGGUGCUGACGCUGAGGCGCGACAGCGUGGGGAGCAAACAGG
rnacentral:rRNA from 1 species